rnacentral:rRNA from 1 species
UAACCUACGGCAGGCCUAUCAUGCAAGUCGAGGGGUAGUGGAGCUUGCUCCAUGAGACCGGCGCACGGGUGCGUAACGCGUAUGCAACCUACCUUCAUCUGGGGGAUAGCCCGGAGAAAUCCGGAUUAACACCGCAUAAAAUCACAGAACGGCAUCGUUCAAUGAUCAAAUAUUUAUAGGAUGGGGAUGGGCAUGCGUGUCAUUAGUUAGUUGGCGGGGUAACGGCCCACCAAGACCGCGAUGACUAGGGGAUCUGAGAGGAUGGCCCCCCACACUGGUACUGAGACACGGACCAGACUCCUACGGGAGGCAGCAGUAAGGAAUAUUGGUCAAUGGGGGCAACCCUGAACCAGCCAUGCCGCGUGCAGGAAGACAGCCCUCUGGGUCGUAAACUGCUUUUAUUUGGGAAUAAACCUGUCUACGUGUAGAUAGCUGAAUGUACCGAAGGAAUAAGGAUCGGCUAACUCCGUGCCAGCAGCCGCGGUAAU